ACUUCCUGUAACAGAUGACCGCAUUCAAAAUGCCUGUUUCUCCAAUCCAGUUACUAUAAACUGAUUGACACCUAUUCUAUCCAAUAGUACUCAUUCUCAUGUUUACAAUGGUAUGCCCAUUGCCUGUCUUUGAAUAAUAUUACGGUGUGAUUGGUCCACGCGUAACCGAUGGUUCUCUGGUGCGCUUUCCAUGCGCCAGAGGAGUCAUUCCAAGCACAGGCUUUGCGCAUUCAACACAACACGUGGAGUUCGCCUAUGGACACAAUUGGAACAGCUGGAUUGUGUCCUAGACAUGACAUUCUCUAACUUUGGAGGACAAGUUCCCUGUGCCUUUAGCUGCAAAGGUACUGACGCAACAGAUCCGCAAUGCUGAGGCCAACAAAGACUCGGUCAUGAUCAGCAUUGGAAGUUGUCGUGCCACGUUUCGCGACUUAGACAGUCUGGCAGGCCCAGAGUUCAACUGGCUGAUUUAUGAUAUUGUAAAUACGCGCAUUGCAGUGAUUGUUGCAGAUCACAAACAACUUUCCACUGUAAGUAGUAGUAAGAAGUUUACACUUUUUUUGGUCUUCACAGGACAAAGCAGUGUUUCACACCCUUACCACAGUAAUUAAUGGUACCCCCCAAAAAAAACAAAUUUUUGAUUCACUAGGAAUCUACAACACAAUAAAAACACAGGACAGAUUAGUCUUGGCCAACGCAUUUAGGAAUGAUCUGUCCCUUUGGGACGUUGUGUUACCACCACAGUGGAAACAGACAGACAGCACUAACUGUGGUGUUUUUGUCUGCACAGCAGCAUUGCCAAGGGUCGUCAGGCUACCUUCCACUGCAGAGGGGCAGAGAGAGGUAUCGGAGGGUUUUGCCCGACUGGCUAGGCAUGGGGCUUUUGCCAGGGCCAUGGGAGCCAUUGACGGCUGCCAUGUUCGUAUCAAAUCCCCGGGAGAGCCCCAAGGCCAGGAUUAUUUCAAUAGGAAAUUGUUCCCGUCUAUACAGCUGCAGGUGGUGUGUAACCAUGCCGGGAGGUUUAUUGAUGUGUUUGUGGGUUAUCCAGGUUGUGUCCACGACGCCCGGGUCCUGAGGCACAGCCCCCUGUUCCGGUCUGCCGUGUACCCACCCCCUGGUACCUUCUUGUUGGGGGAUGGGGGAAAUGGGCCUCAUCAGACAACCCCAUCACACCAUUCAAGAAUCCGCUCAGGGGAGUGGCACAACAGAGGUUGGUACAUUAAAAUAUGUGAUUUUAAUCGCAAUGUCACAGAGAUUAAUUAGAGUAAUUACAUGUCAUUAAUUUUUUUCCCAACACUUACUUGUAGGUUUUAACGCGCAUCAUGCCAGAGCUCGUUCGGUCAUUGAGCGGGCUUUUGGCAUAAUGAAGACCAGGUGGAGGUUCGUCUUUUUCUGUGCCUUGGAGGUGGACGUCUCAUUUGUGCCAGAUGUCAUUGUGUGUUGCACUAUGCUUCAGAAUGUAUGUCUGGGCAAUGAUGAUGUCCUACCGGUGGAUGAGGAGGACCCUGAAGAGCCCGUCGAGGGAGAGGACCCAUGGCGAAACAACAAGUGGUAGUGCCCUGCGAGACAGCAUUGCAGAUCAGCUGUCCGCACUUCAGUGUCUUCCACCGGAACACGAUUAUUGUUGAUAAAUUGUUGUACAGUUCUUUGAUUAAUAAAGUGUUGUAUACUUC